rnacentral:rRNA from 1 species
CACGUAGGGCGCAAGCGUUGUCCGGAAUUAUUGGGCGUAAAGAGCUCGUAGGCGGUCUGUUACGUCUGCUGUGAAAACCCAGGGCUUAACCCUGGGCUUGCAGUGGAUACGGGCAGACUAGAGGCAGGUAGGGGAGAAUGGAAUUCCCGGUGUAGCGGUGGAAUGCGCAGAUAUCAGGAGGAACACCGGUGGCGAAGGCGGGUCUCUGGGCAGUAACCGACGUUGAGGAGCGAAAGCGUGGGGAGCGAACAGG